GAACGAACGCUGGCGGCAUGCCUAACACAUGCAAGUCGAACGAGACCUUCGGGUCUAGUGGCGCACGGGUGCGUAACGCGUGGGAACCUGCCCUUAGGUUCGGAAUAACUCCCCGAAAGGGGUGCUAAUACCGGAUAAUGUCUUCGGACCAAAGAUUUAUCGCCUUUGGAUGGGCCCGCGUUGGAUUAGCUAGUUGGUAGGGUAAAAGCCUACCAAGGCGACGAUCCAUAGCUGGUCUGAGAGGAUGAUCAGCCACACUGGGACUGAGACACGGCCCAGACUUCUACGGGAGGCAGGCGUGGGGAAUAUUGGACAAUGGGCGAAAGCCUGAUCCAGCAAUGCCGCGUGAGUGAUGAAGGCCUUAGGGUUGUAAAGCUCUUUUACCCGGGAUGAUAAUGACAGUACCGGGAGAAUAAGCGCCGGCUAACUCCGUG
rnacentral:rRNA from 1 species